AUGACUAUAUUUAAAAUUGAAAGAUUAUAAAUUGUAAAUGUAUAUUUCAUGAUAUAAUCUUUUCAUUAGGGCUGUCAAAAUUAAAGCUGAUCCAAUAUGAUAACCUAUCUCGAAUCUAACCUGAAAAUUUCGAAUUUGGGUUAAAAUUUUCAACCUAAAAAAAAGAUGGGUCAGCCCAACCCGACCAGAAAAAAUAAUGGGUUAGGUUCAGGUUGAAUUUUUGAACCUCAAAACAAUCCGAAUAGUCUGACUUUGAAAUGGGGUCAAAUUCAAGGCAGGCCAACCUAUGUUUAUCUAACUUGUAUUAGACCAAACUCGUUUCUUGAAUAUUCUAAAUUUGAUUAAGUUGGCAUUUGAAUUCAAGACUCACUCAAUAUGUUGAAUUAUUGCAGUGAUUAAAUUUAAAAUCAUGUCAUUUUGGGUUGGUUUCGGGUCAACCUGAAAUCGAAAAGGUCGGGUUCAAAUUCUAAUUUUCGACCUGAAAUCAGAAUCAAGUCAAGUUUGGAUUAGGGGUAAGUAACCCGAAAUAGAAAUCAGGUGAACUUGAAAUAAAUCCAACUCGAACUUAUUGCUACCCUACAUUAUUAAUAUAGACAAAUGACACGUAAAGAUAAUUAUUGUAUACUACAAUAAUAUCUAAUAAUAAUGUAUUCUACUGGAGUAAUAAUUAAGCAAUAUAAAAAGUUGUGAAAAUUAUCAAUCCCGCAAUUCCAAAAUAAAUUGUCUACAUUAUAAAUCAAAAUCUACGACUACGGGUAAGUUACAUAAAUGGUAAUGUAAAAUGGUAAGUUAUAUCAAUAUUAACAUUGUUUAUUAUUAGUUAGCAACUGUGCCGAAAUUAUACACGAAAUAAUAUGAUUGUAAAGUACUUCCAUUUGCUGAGUGAAACUUACCAAAUUUAUAAGAUUGUAAUUGAUCCAUUUUACACGUGGCACUAAAAAAAUGAGAAUAAGUAUAGUGAUGACAUGUGGCGAAAUGAGUAAUAGCUUGACACAUAGGCAAAUUUUUCUAGCUUUAUAUAUAUAUAUAGAUUCAGAAAAUAACAAUUCAGUAAAAAGUUAAUUCACCCUCCGAAAAAAAUCUUCAUCAAUCACUGAACCAAUUCAGAAACCUACCCAAAAUCAGGCCCAGAACUCACUGAGUCAACUCGAUCACUCACAAGCGAGUUCUCCUUACUCAACCUCGCAUACAUCCUCGCCCUCAAAUCCUUCCCCGACUCGACUCGCUCCAGUGGCAUCUCUUCCUCUAUCAUCACCUCCCACGGAUCAAACAAACCAAGCACAGAACAACGAGUGGGUGACCUAACCACCGCCCCACCACGAGUUGGUAUCGUCGGCAAACUCUUCGUUGAUGUCGUUAGAUCUGAAGUUGCUGCUCCACCAGUUCAUAUGACAGGAGUACCCCCUUCUGAUAUGAAGAAGAAGAGAGGUAGGCCCUAGGAAGUAUGGCCCUGGUGGUGCUGUGACGGCUGCAUUGUCGCCAAUGCCGAUUUCGGCUUCAAUUCCUCUGAGUAAAGACUUUUCAGGCUGGAAACAACAUAGAGCAAUGCCGUUUUAGACAAUAAAGAAGCCAUAUUAAGUGGAGUUUGAGAGUCUAGGUUUGAGUGCAGCAAGCCUAUGCAGCUCGGAGUGAGCUUUGCUGGUGGAUAUAUGGUGGUGUUUUCUAUGCUGUUAUUUCACAUUCUACUGACAAUGCCUUAUUUCUUUACUCAAUAAUGCCAAGGGAGCUACAGUGGGUGAUGUAAGUGUUAACAAUAAGUAGAAUCACUGAUAUUUCCUCACUGGAUGGUGGGAAAUAAUAUUUUUUUUGGCUUUAUUAUUCAUUAAUUUCUUUAACUUCUAAUAGGUAUGGGUAAUUCUAUUAUGAAGGAUGGUUUUGUAUUCAUCCUAUUGAGAACUCUUUAAAAAAAUACUCAAGUUACAUGAUUAGGAACUAGAUUUGAUACAUGAUAUUGCGGAUUAUACUUUGAUUAGUUCUUACUAGUGUUGUUGUUGUUUAAUAUAAAAGAUAACGUUUUCUUUAUUAAUGUA